CCUACGGGGAGCAGCAGUGAGGAAUAUUGGUCAAUGGACGAGAGUCUGAACCAGCCAAGUAGCGUGAAGGAUGACUGCCCUAUGGGUUGUAAUCUUCUUUUAUAUGGGAAUAAAAUGUUCCACGUGUGGGAUUUUGUAUGUACCAUAUGAAUAAGGAUCGGCUAACUCCGUGCCAGCAGCCGCGGUAAUACGGAGGAUCCGAGCGUUAUCCGGAUUUAUUGGGUUUAAAGGGAGCGUAGGUGGAUUGUUAAGGCAGUUGUGAAAGUUUGCGGAUCAACCGUAAAAUUGCAGUUGAAACUGGCAGUCUUGAGUACAGUAGAGGUGGGCGGAAUUCGUGGUGUAGCGGUGAAAUGCUUAGAUAUCACGAAGAACUCCGAUUGCGAAGGCAGUUCACUGGACUGCAACUGACACUGAGGCUCGAAAGUGUGGGUAUCAAACAGGAUUAGAUACCCCAGUAGUC
rnacentral:rRNA from 1 species